GAUGAACGCUGGCGGCGUGCCUAAUACAUGCAAGUCGAACGCUUCACUUCGGUGAAGAGUGGCGAACGGGUGAGUAAUACAUAAGUAACCUGGCAUCUACAGGGGGAUAACUGAUGGAAACGUCAGCUAAGACCGCAUAGGUGUAGAGAUCGCAUGAACUCUAUAUGAAAAGUGCUACGGGACUGGUAGAUGAUGGACUUAUGGCGCAUUAGCUUGUUGGUAGGGUAACGGCCUACCAAGGCGACGAUGCGUAGCCGACCUGAGAGGGUGACCGGCCACACUGGGACUGAGACACGGCCCAGACUCCUAAGGGAGGCAGCAGUAGGGAAUUUUCGGCAAUGGGGGAAACCCUGACCGAGCAACGCCGCGUGAAGGAAGAAGUAAUUCGGUAUGUAAACUUCUGUCAUAGAGGAAGAACGGUGGAUAUAGGGAAUGAUAUCCAAGUGACGGUACUCUAUAAGAAAGCCACGGCUAACUACGUG
rnacentral:rRNA from 1 species